CUUCGGAGAUAGUAAGGUGGCGGACGGGUGAGUAACACGUAAAGACUUGCCCUGCAGUCUGGGACAACUAUUGGAAACGAUAGCUAAUACCGGAUAUUGCCGCAUGGCGAAAGCUAUAUGCGCUGUAGGAGAGCUUUGCGUCCCAUUAGUUAGUUGGUGAGGUAACGGCUCACCAAGACCGCGAUGGGUAGCCGGCCUGAGAGGGUGAACGGCCACAAGGGGACUGAGACACGGCCCUUACUCCUACGGGAGGCAGCAGUGGGGAAUAUUGGACAAUGGACCAAAGUCUGAUCCAGCAAUUCUGUGUGCACGAUGACGGUCUUAGGAUUGUAAAGUGCUUUCAAUCGGGAAAAAGAAAGUGAUGGUACCGAUAGAAGAAGCGACGGCUAAAUACGUGCCAGCAGCCGCGGUAAUACGUAUGUCGCAAGCGUUAUCCGGAUUUAUUGGGCGUAAAGCGCGUCUAGGCGGUCUGGUAAGUCUGAUGU
rnacentral:rRNA from 1 species